rnacentral:rRNA from 1 species
UACGUAGGGGGCUAGCGUUGUCCGGAAUCAUUGGGCGUAAAGCGCGUGUAGGCGGUUCGGUAAGUCCGCUGUGAAAGUCGGGGGCUCAACCCUCGAAUGCCGGUGGAUACUGUCGGGCUAGAGUGCGGAAGAGGCGAGUGGAAUUCCUGGGUGUAGCGGUGAAAUGCGCAGAUAUCAGGAGGAACACCCGUAGCGAAGGCGGCACUCUGGGCCGAUACUGACAC